rnacentral:rRNA from 1 species
CCGCCGGCGACCGGCGGCACGGGUGAGUAACACGUAUGCAACCUGGCCGUGACAGAUGGAUAACCGGGAGAAAUCCCGCCUAAUACAACAUAAUGCCGGGAGGGGACAUCCCCUGCCGGUCAAAGGGGGCGACCCCGGUCAUGGAUGGGCAUGCGGCGCAUUAGGUAGUUGGUGGGGCAACGGCCCACCAAGCCGACGAUGCGUAGGGGUUCUGAGAGGAAGGUCCCCCACAUUGGAACUGAGACACGGUCCAAACUCCUACGGAAGGCAGCAG